rnacentral:rRNA from 1 species
AUUAGAUGAGCCUAUAUUAGAUUAGCUAGUUGGUGGAGUAAUAGCCUACCAAGGCAAUGAUCUAUAGCUGAUCUGAGAGGAUGAUCAGCCACACUGGAACUGAGAUACGGUCCAGACUCCUACGGGAGGCAGCAGUGGGGAAUAUUGGACAAUGGGCGAAAGCCUGAUCCAGCCAUGCCGCAUGAGUGAAGAAGGCCUUUGGGUUGUAAAGCUCUUUUAGUGAGGAAGAUAAUGACGGUACUCACAGAAGAAGUCCUGGCUAACUCCGUGCCAGCAGCCGCGGUAAUACGGAGAGGGCUAGCGUUAUUCGGAAUUAUUGGGCGUAAAGGGCGCGUAGGCUGAUUAAUAAGUUAAAAGUGAAAUCCCGAGGCUUAACCUUGGAAUUGCUUUUAAAACUAUUAAUCUAGAGAUUGAAAGAGGAUAGAGGAAUUCCUGAUGUAGAGGUAAAAUUCGUAAAUAUUAGGAGGGACACCAGUGGCGAAGGCGUCUAUCUGGUUCAAAUCUGACGCUGAAGCGCGAAGGCGUGGGGAGCAAACAGGAUUAGAUACCCUGGUAGUCCACGCUGUAAACGAUGAAUGUUAAAUAUGGGAAG